rnacentral:rRNA from 1 species
UACGGAGAGUGCGAGCGUUGUCCGGAAUCAUUGGGCGUAAAGGGUGCGUAGGCGGCGCGGUAAGUCGGGUGUGAAAUCUCGGAGCUUAACUCCGAAACUGCAUUCGAUACUGCCGUGCUUGAGGACUGGAGAGGAGACUGGAAUUUACGGUGUAGCGGUGAAAUGCGUAGAUAUCGUAAGGAAGACCAGUGGCGAAGGCGGGUCUCUGGACAGUUCCUGACGCUGAGGCACGAAGGUCAGGGGAGCAAACGGG